UGUAAGUUACGUAAUAAUUUCGUAAGGUGUCGCCGACUAACUUCCGUUAAAAAUAUCAACAAUAGGUAGCGCCACCGUAGCUACCUUAACCCCUCCCUCCCUCUCCCUUUCUUAUUGCUUGUGUCCUUUUUUCAGAUUGUGUGUGUGCCUGUGUGGUCUGUAGAGAGAGAGAGUUUUGGCCGUAACUUUAAGCAUGAUUGGGGAUAUACUUGGGGAAAUCUUGUCGAGUGAGUGUUGGUGAAUAACUCCAUAGAUUUUGUUAGUUUAAUCAAUAGCCAGAGCACGGUUUUCGGGCUGAAGUGAACAGUAGUGAACUCAAGUAACACAAUCUCUCUCUUGAAGUAGUCUGCAUGUUAUUUUCAAAAUAGUGAAACGCGAGGAAGGGCGGCUCUUCACAGAGUUCGACAGUCAUUAAUCGAAGGCUGGUCGGAUGGUUGUGAUCGAAUUCGACGUACCCCGAUCCGUCUCUCUCUCCGCGCUGGACGAAAACAAUGUGACCCUUAAAGAUUCCCCCGAGAAUGGGGGACAGGAAUCCAACAAGAUGGUUCCAAGAGCAACACUCAUCUGUAGACCAAAUUCACACCCUUUCCAGGAGAGAAAUCUCAGCCUGGAAAGUGCCAUGAAAGUUGGGCGCUCAGUGGCAAGAGUGAAGCCUGCUGUCAACAAUGCCAUAUUUGAUUGUAAAGUGUUAUCUAGGAACCAUGCUUUGCUAUGGUACAAAGAUGGAAAGUUUUAUUUACAAGACACCAAAAGCAGUAAUGGCACAUUUGUGAACAAUCAGAGAUUAAGUAAAGGAUCUGAAGAAUCAGCACCAAGAGAAGUGUGCUCUGGUGAUAUAGUACAGUUUGGAGUAGAUGUUAUGGAAAAUUCAAGAAAAGUUACUCAUGGUUGUAUUGUAGCCACUGUAAAGCUAUAUUUACCUGAUGGCAAAGAAGCCAAAGCCAGUCCUUCAACUGGAAUUCAAGAAGAGGAAGACAGUUGUGAACUUGGCAAACAAGAUCUCUAUCAGCUUAAUCAAUGGAUACAGGAAGCAGUAAUCAGAGAACAAGUAUUAGAAACGAAAUUAGGAUCGUUGCAGCGUAUUGUGAGCGCUACUCGUGAAGCAGCUGAAAUGGGCUGGACGGCGCUGAUGGAGGAAGAUAGACUAUUGACUCGAAUAGAAUCUCUCGAAAAUCAGCUGGUCGUCUCUUCUAAAAACUUUCACGAAGACAAACUACGUGAAGAGAUCCGUAAGUUGUAUGACGAGAAAAACAUUUAUCAGGAUGUUUCGAAAGAAUCAUUACGGAAAGUGCUCACAGAGAAAAUGGAAACUUUGAAGAAGUUACAGGAAACUGAACGAUCAUUGAGUAACGCUGAAGACGAACGCGACAACAUGAAAGAAUUGAACGAUAAACUGAAUGAACAAAUACUAGAAUUAGCCGAGAAAUUCGAAAAAGAAUCGGAAGAGUUACAGUCGUGCAAGAAAAAGUUACAAGAAGCCGACAACCAACAACUUCGUCAUGAGCAGGAGAUGCAAUCAAGGCAAGAAGCCCUUCGAGAAGCUCAAGAAAAAGAAACGAUUCUUCUAGCUCAGGUGGAAAGUAGACAAGCGGAAAUCGAUUUCACCAAAGAGCAGCUCGCCAAUCUCAGACUACGUCUCGAUUCAAUGAAAGCAACAGAAGAAUUGAAGAAGGAUGAGAACGAAAUAAGUGGGGAUGAAGUGGAAGAUAAGAGCAACGUCAAAGAAAACCAGACGGAAACAUUGAGACAAAGGGUGAUCCAGCUCGAGUCGCAACUUAAAACUUCCCAUGCAAAGAAUCUAAAUGGAGACUUUGUCCCAGAUCCUAUUGGAUACAAGUCAAAAGAAGUGGAUCGCCUACAAGAGCUUUUGGAAGAAACGCGCGCCAAGUGCCGUGUACUUGAGUCAGAAGUGGAGAGACGGCAGCUAGAGGCACAAGAUGGUUGGUCUACAGCCGCACAUCUACAGCAAUACUUUAGAAACCUGCACAACGUUCUCAAAGGCUCAUCUGAGCAGGAAGAGGAAUCCGCUGAUGAACCAUCUGAGCUCGCUGAGCUCGUCCGUUCCAGUAUCGUUUCACUCAAUAAUGAGUACCAAGAACUUCGAGAAGCUAAUGCGAAGAAUAAGGAUCUUAUUUCGCUAUUGACCUUACGACUAAGUAAUUACGAAAAGGAAGAGAAAGCCAAUCGUGUCAGUGAAACCACCGCUCAUAGAGGCUCAACCUCAGAAUUGGAAUAUCUCAGGGACGAAGUUGCUAUCCUCACCAUCCAGUUGAAAGAGAUGGAAGUGUCGAGGAUAGAGCAAAUUGAGGAACGCCAGAAAUGGCAACAAGCCUACCAGUCGCUAGCUCUCAGCGUAGAGAAUCGGGACAGUGGAGUGGUUAGCGGAUUUAGCAGUCCAAUCAGUAAUCCACCGAGUUCCCGUGAUCCUGAAAUGAGAGAUUCUGGCAUCCGGGAACUUAAUUCCGGAGAAGAUGCUAAUUCGGAAGAAUAUGUUACCAUGCAGCAAUUGUCUGAGGUACGAAACGAACUCGAAGCUUUACGGCGCCACUACGAUAAUGUACAAACGGAAAAGAAGGAGCUAGAAGAAGAAUUCUCCCAGUUAAAGGACAACUACUCGUUACUAUCUUCUCAGUCAAAAACGGUUGGCCGCUGGAUGUAUGUAGUCCCGUUGGCCGUCCUUGUCUUGGCGGUCCUCAUAGCUUUCAGGCCAUCGGAUUGAAAUAACGAUAAAUUAAAAGACAGAAAAGGGGAAGCACCAAUUCUAUUUCAUCCUUUGUCUUCCUUUAGAAAACUAAAUGUGUGUGCCUUCUAAAAGACAUAUUCUUUUUGUCAGCUGAGAGUCCGUCAACUCUUGUUUUUUCCUCACGUGAAACUGAACGAAGAGGGAAUAAGAAAAGGAUUUGAACACAAAACAAAUAAGAAGCUAUUUGAAUUCUUCGAUAGUCUGCUUGAUUUUGGAUUCUCCUUUUCUCUCUCGCUUAGGUUCUGUUUUCUCACAUUUUUUUUCUUCAGCUGUAUUUGUUACCUUCUUAUUAUUGGCUUUCUUUUCUCUCGUUCGUCGACUUGUGUUUAUGUGCCUUCAAAAUUUAUUUUAGAGAUGAAUUUAUUGUUUUUGUUAGUUCAAUAUCCGUGGCCAAAAAACAACGCAAACAAAAACAACAAAACAUUUUUCGCUCUGUAUGUUUGCUUCGAUUUACUUUAUUCUUUAACUUUCAUUUUUUUUUCUCGUCUUAAACUAACACCGCAUUGACGUAAGAAAUUUAUGCUAACGGUGGACAUUAGAGAACAAAAAAAAGCUGAUCCAUCGAUUAUUUUCCUUUCUCUUUUUCUCUGUUUGUUUGUUUUUUUUUGUUUUUUUUUUUGCUGUGCCUCUUGUUUUUUUUUCGUGUUUGUCUGCGCGUUUUCUGUAGGCGACGGCGUUGUGUCUCAUGCCCUUGCUCGUAUUGUUCAUCUCGUUCUUCCUGGCCUUCUACCGCUUCUUCUCGCGGCUGACGGCUACAUUCGAGCCCUGAGAGAUUUUGCCGGACAACACGGAAGAAAAAUAAGGAGAGAGACAAUAACAGCAACAACAAAAACAUCAUCAUCAUCAUCAAUUGUUUUUUUCCUGUUCUUCUACCGAUUGUAAGCUUUUUUUUUUUCAAUUACUUCUAUCUACGCAAAUGGCGGGAUAUGCAGAUAAUAUCCCUUUUUUCGUGUUUUCUUUUGAAACAUAUUUGCUAGCGACAGCAGCUUUUUAAUUUUACCAAGUGCCAUCAAUAUGACAAAAGAGUGAUGUCAUUAACUAGUGUGUGUUUUCCGUCAACGCUACAGAAAAUGGCUUAGUCUCCUUUCUGUGUGUGUAUGUAAAACGUACAACGUCGGUGGGGAGGGGGAGAGUCGAAUCCUCUUUCCUCCACCUUCUAACAGGACCUGUGCAGAGUUAUUUUUUCCUUUGCUAUCUCUCUCUCUCUCCAUGAUUUUCUACUGUCACACAAAACACACACCCCUCCGAAGAAUGUUGUUCCUCUUUGUUUUUCAAAUGCUUAGUUUUACGGCAUAGUUGGCGUGCAAUAAUAGGCUCCCCUCAAUGAUUUUUCUUCCUUUUUUUUUUUUUCUUUUGCUGUCCGUCCUACCUCUGUCUAUCCACCAGCUCAUUAUCGUCGACAUCUUUCUCUUGUGUGUGAGGGAAAGUUUAAUAUUUUUCUCACCAGCCAACGACAUUAUUUUCAGCUUCGCGCGUCUUCGACUUGAAAGAUUUUGUGUCACGUUUCCUCCUUAAGGUCUUUGGCGGAUAACCGUCCGGCGAGAUGGAUAACCAUCGCUGGGAGGCCUCGGAUCUUAAGGAGUUUAUGAAAAAUUUCAACCAACAACAAACAUGUUCUAUGUUUUGUAGUCUAGUCCUCUUCUACGGAUAUUGUACACACUCCCCAUUUUCUCUCUUUACUAUCCCACCUGCCCCUGCCCCGUGUCCUGUUAUUUAACUCGCCCCAUUAAACAUCAGCAACAAAAAAAAAAAGAAAGAAGAGAAAAUGAAAAGAAACUAACAAGACAAUACAAUACUUUGUUUUUUU
rnacentral:misc_RNA from 1 species